AUGAGGGCUCAGAGCGAUCCAUGGUUUGCUGAUUACCUUCUUCGUGUUGGGAAUGGCAGUGAAGAUACCGUGGAUGAUGAUUACAUACGGCUUCCAGAUGAGAUUUGUGUACCAUACACCAGCGACGCCACUGAUAUUGAUAAGCUUAUUGAAAGUGUUUUCCAGAUGACCCUAGAAGAAAACCUCUUGGAUCCAAAUUACAUAACGUCCCGAGCAAUUUUGUCAACUCGGAAUGAGUACGUUGACAAGAUUAACAUGAAAUGA
rnacentral:rRNA from 1 species